UUCCUCAAAGGGACAGCUGGGACUCAACUCACAAAAUCUGAUGAAGAUAAAUUGACACGAAACCUUUGCUCCGGUCGCUCUAGCAUUUCUGACAUCUGGUUUAUUAAAGAAACAUUACCGCGCUCCCAGUGCACAUAUGUUCAACUACAGUGGGAAUUAUAAAGAAUAAUGAUUUAAAACAGAAAAUUGGUGUUAGCUUAAUCAUUCUCCCACCGGUCUACGCGUUCUACUGCCAAAGGCCGACUUUUGCAUCGUUUCACGCGGGGGCCGAGUCACAGCUGUUUGAGCCUCUGUUGUAACAACGGCAAGCCUUUAUCACAUGUGCAUUCGUUCAUGUGUCAAUUUAGUGUUACCAAAACGGUUCAUUUUGCAACUUUCGCAAACAAUCAAGCCUUAUUAUUCAUCAUCUAAAGCUUGUAUCGCGAUAAACUUAUCACCGGCUGUUUUGCUACUAUUCCAAUGCUAGUUUGGGGGAGGGUGGUUGGUUGGUUAUAAUAUUGGUGAUCUAUUUGCAUGUGCCCUAAAUAUGAAAGCAGAUUAAGGUGACACCCUCACAGAGAUGUUUCUUCACACAGUAAAGUGCACCUAUAUGAUGGGCUGUGGGUCAGUGACGAACUUGAGCAGAUGCGUGGUAUUGAUCAGUCUCCAUGCAUCGAAUAUUAACUUUCGUCCACCCUGGAGCCAAACUGCAGCCCAGAUCACAGGCCAAGCAUCACCACCCUCGAGCUCUGCGCUUAUUUUUGUUCCCCAGCAGAAAAGCCACUGCAGCCAUGACCUGACUCCAGAAACAAUUAGCAAAAAAAAGAAAGAAAGAAAGACAGACAGAAAAGAAAAAAGAAAAGAAAACGAGGUCAAAUAAAUACUUCGUUUCCCACGGACGGUACCAGUCGAAACCCCUGUUGGCUGUGGUGGCAAGUCGCAGUCCAGCCUUUAACGCACAGUGGAGCAGUGAGUCACAUUCGCCAUGCAGCCGCGCGCGCGGGGAUAUUGGGGACAGGCAGCCUGCGCAGCGGAUGAAAGCAGAUGAGCAGCUUUCUGCGGGAUGUGCAGCCUGUAAUCCCGUCCUCACGACACUCGUCAGACCACCUCGUAGAUUAAAACUCGACCGACAAUCAUUUUUUUUUCUUUUCUUUUCUUUUUUUUUUUUUUUCCCCAGGCUGUCCGACUCAGACGAGGAGCGGUGUUGACACGUACGGUUCCUGCUGGCAGUUCUCGAAGCAGCGGCAGCACAACAACAACAACAACAACAACAAACAACAACAACAGCAAACAACAACGACAGGCAGCAGCUGCAGACGGUGAGAGCUGGUCCUCUCUCGGUUUGCUCUCGUGCCUGUUGCACUGUAGACGCACGAGCAGGAGACCUGCAGCUGACAAACAACACGCACAUGGUGUUUUGUUAUGACGAAAGAACAAGGAGACGGCAAAGGCGCUGAAACUAUCACUGCCUCACCAGACCUGGACCCAGCCGGUGGCAGCCCUGAGCUCGGGGCGCAGACUGUGGCUGGAGGAGGAAGAGAGCCUGGAGCUGAGAUUGAGGCUGGGAACCACAAGCUGGGAGCUGGGGCUGAGGCACACAGCUGUGAAGGGGACAGUCUGAGGGAAUUCACGGGGUCUUGCAAAAGCCACCAAACGGGAGCUUAUGGCUUUCUCCUCCUCCCGACAGAGAUGUGGAUCGGAGCAGGAAGAGCUGCCGAUUUCGCAUCCUGACCGCACUUUGAAAAAACGGCAGCAAGAUUUUGACUUCAGCCACAGGCACAAACAAUUUGGCCAACAAGUGAAAUCACAGACAGACAGGCUGGCGAUCGCGGCAGCAUAAGGUAACAGAUUUUGCCUGUCGGGAGAGGAAGGCUACCUGACGCGCUGCUGGAACCGUGAUGGAGGGAGGGGGAGAUACGCCAGCGUCCCCCAUCCCUCCCGAUCGCUGCGUGUUACAGAGCAGGUGAGAAACAUUAACAGCGGCAGCAGCUGCGGCCCUCUGCUCCACACAUGUGGGCCAGGAUAUGAGCUCGCUCCAGCUCGCCCACUGUCAACACUGGUCACUAAUGUUAACACUCUCCUCUCUGAGACUCACAAACAGUGCUGAGAAAAAGGAGGAAAGGAUACAUUACGUCUUAUUAUUAGAUGUUUCCUUCUAAUUUACUGUGUGUACAGUGUGCCGAGCCUCUAUGCUAGACUCAAACUGUUAAUUCAAGCUGCAUUACGUGGACCCUUAUAUUCCACUGAUGAGCAGAAUAAUAGUCCGAGCAGAAUAUGAGUGCCUCACGAAACCACCUCAAGUGGAGGAGACAGGCCCAAUCAGAAGACAAAUUGAGAGGCGGUGGAGAAAACGUAUGAAAAUCCAUUUGUUGCCACACGUGGGUGUAAUGUUAGGUGACAUGAACGAGUUUCCAGGAGGGUCAGAAACAUGGUGCAUGUGUAAUGUUACAACUUCAACAACAAUCACCUCAAGUUGUGCUCAAUCUCAAAUCUUCUGAAGUUGCCACGAGAAGCUCUAGCUGGUCAAUCGCUUGUUAAAGUUUAAAUUCAAACAAUUGUUGUAUUCUCAACAAGAGGUAUACAAAAUGUACAAAAACUGACCAUCGUGUGUCAGGCAGUUUGGACACUUAACAAUCACUUUGCACUUGUCAAGAAGAAAAAAAAUAAAUAAAUAGGACAUUUGUUUUUUCUUUUUAAGCCAGUGAAUAACUUUUUUUCACAGGCACUUCACUAUUACAAAGCAAAGAUUUGAGGUAAUGUGGGGAAAACGGAAAUGUGUUUUUAAACUAUAUCUCUCUAAUCUUCAUUAUUUGCCACCAGCUUUGAAUGCAGACUGCAUUUAAUAUAAACAAUAUUAAAUGAACUUAACAUCUGAAUCGUUCUUAUGAUGGAUGUCAGAGCACCCUCUAAGUUAUUUACUGGUCAAAUUUGAAUAUGGAAAUACUUUGGCUAUCAAUUUGCUUGCAGCAUAUGCACCCUGCUGGAUCAUUUGAAUUCCCCUUCAGUGUGAGCCGUGAACCGAGUGACCUGGACGUCACACUGUGUUCUGAACACACAGGCUCCCGUCACACCGGUGAGAUGUCCCAGGGGAGACUGGCAUGUGUAUUUGUGUUUCUGUGAAUCAUAACCGCUGUUUUGUAUUCAUCGAGGUGUGUCAAAGCGGAUUACCUGCAUGAAUGGGGGACCUGAGGCGACUUUGUUUUUCAAGACUGUCCUUUGGGGUGAGGUAGUAGGUUGUAUAGUUUUAGGGUCGUACCCUUCCUGUCAGAUAACUAUACAACUUACUGUCUUUCCUGAAGUGGCUGUAAUGUCAUCAGAUGCCAUUGUUGGAGCUUUUUGGAACUGGAUCAACACUGGAAUGUGCGUGUUUACCCGCUGACAGCUUAGAUAACAUAACUCAUUUGCAGCGUUUGAUCGAGGUUGGUCACAGUAUUUGCUUCAGGCUGUUUCUCAUGGUUGCUUGUUCAGACUUUUGCAGGUUCUUUUUGUACCGAACAAAAAUAUUUUCAUAUCUCAACAGGCAUUGCAGAUUGUAUGCGCUGUAACUUUUGCUCAAACCUACUCUCGCUUAAUUCACUUGUUUAUUAUUUAUAACCGUUUUCCUGUCUUUUUGUAUUUAUUUUCUCACAUGUGACCAAAAAAGGCUUUUAUGAUUUUUGUCACAGCUGCUUGCAAUGUUAUAUUUUAGAAAUUAAAGCAAUUUGUAUGAAAUAAAGUGUGUCAGUGUUCCAAAUGUGAAACUGUAUGAGGAUGUAUUUGUACCGUGAGACAUUGUCAAGUUUUAUCUGUCACUCCGUCAUGAUGCUCUCCAGUAUAAGAAACGUCACCAGCCUGUACGGCCUUUCUGAUGUUCGAACAGGGUGAGGUAGUAGGUUGUGUGGUUUCAGGGUAGUGAUUUUGCCCAAUCAGGAGAUAACUAUACAACCUACUGCCUUCCCUGGAGGGCAGCAAUACUUCGACAUACAGACAACAGGUGGCAUCUUUUUCACGGAAAGAAAUCCAACACCAACACAUCAAACCAGAUGAACUGUUUGGCCCCGAGACGCCGGCGUCGCUUCUUACCUGAAACUUGGGCGUCCACAGCCACAGAGAGGACCAGCAGGUAAAGCCUGUUCAAGUCGGAUUUGUCUUGAAUCUUUUUUGUCCGCUUCAAACAUUAAUAAAAGCUAAGAUCAUAAAUCA